CUCUAGGAGGUUUUAAGAAGAGGCAUGUGUCUGUUUUCCAAUUCUGUAAAUUGGUUUGGUUAUUGAAGGACAUGUUACCAUGUCUGAUCAUAAAUUUAGUUAUUUUUAUGAUUCAUGUGAAAAAUUAUAAUCUAUUACGUAAAUUUCGUUCGUCAUAUUUUGUAUAGAUUGUCUUAAAUCUGGGGCAACCAUCACUGUUGAUCUUUGACAAGUAAUUUAGUUCCAAGACUCUUACUACACUGGAGGAGAUUCGGCUACCAUAGAAUUAUGUGAUUUUCUUGUGUGGCAUAGGACAAGUGAUAACUGGUAGCUGCGACAAAACCUUGAAAUGUUGGAAUUCUAGAGGUGCAACUGUGCAAGUGGACAACAUGCUUUCGUUGGAGCUUAUACACAACCAGUGUGUUUUUACUUUCCCUUGUUGGGAACCAUUUAGUAGUAGCAAAUGUUGAUGGUUUCAUUAUUUUAUGGUACUACAAAUAGUUUUGUGGUGGUUUGCAUGCCAUGGCUUAAACUUUAAUUAAAGCAGUAGAAGAACUUGAGAAUUUGUUAAA